rnacentral:rRNA from 1 species
CGGCGUGCUUAACACAUGCAAGUCGAACGAUGAAGCCCAGCUUGCNNNUGGAUUAGUGGCGAACGGGUGAGUAACACGUGAGUAACCUGCCCUUAACUCUGGGAUAAGCCUGGGAAACUAGGUCUAAUACCGGAUAGGAGCGUCCACCGCAUGGUGGGUGUUGGAAAGAUUUAUCGGUUUUGGAUGGACUCGCGGCCUAUCAGCUUGUUGGUGAGGUAAUGGCUCACCAAGGCGACGACGGGUAGCCGGCCUGAGAGGGUGACCGGCCACACUGGGACUGAGACACGGCCCAGACUCNUACGGGAGGCAGCAGUGGGGAAUAUUGCACAAUGGGCGCAAGCCUGAUGCAGCGACGCCGCGUGAGGGAUGACGGCNUUCGGGUUGUAAACCUCUUUCAGUAGGGAAGAAGCGAAAGUGACGGUACCUGCAGAAGAAGCACCGGCUAACUACGUGCCAGCAGCCGCGGUAAUACGUAGGGUGCGAGCGUUAUCCGGAAUUAUUGGGCGUAAAGAGCUCGUAGGCGGUUUGUCGCGUCUGUCGUGAAAGNNNNGGCUUAACCCCGGAUCUGCGGUGGGUACGGGCAGACUAGAGUGCAGUAGGGGAGACUGGAAUUCCUGGUGUAGCGGUGGAAUGCGCAGAUAUCAGGAGGAACACCGAUGGCGAAGGCAGGUCUCUGGGCUGUAACUGACGCUGAGGAGCGAAAGCAUGGGGAGCGAACAGGAUUAGAUACCCUGGUAGUCCAUGCCGUAAACGUUGGGCACUAGGUGUGGGGACCAUUCCACGGUUUCCGCGCCGCACGUAACGCAUUAAGUGCCCGCCUGGGGAGUACGGCGCAAGGCUAAAACUCAAAGGAAUUGACGGGGGCCGCACAAGCGGCGGAGCAUGCGGAUUAAUUCGAUGCAACGCGAAGAACCUUACCAAGGCUUGACAUGUUCUCGAUCGCCGUAGAGAUACGGUUUCCUUUGGGGCGGGUUCACAGGUGGUGCAUGGUUGUCAUCAGCUCGUGUCGUGAGAUGUUGGGUUAAGUCCCGCAACGAGCGCAACCCUCGUUCCAUGUUGCCAGCACGUAAUGGUGGGGACUCAUGGGAGACUGCCGGGGUCAACUCGGAGGAAGGUGAGGACGACGUCAAAUCAUCAUGCCCCUUAUGUCUUGGGCUUGAGCGAUGCUACAAUGGCCGGUACAAUGGGUUGCGAUACUGUGAGGUGGAGCUAAUCCCAAAAAGCCGGUCUCAGUUCGGAUUGGGGUCUGCAACUCGACCCCAUGAAGUCGGAGUCGCUAGUAAUCGCAGAUNNGCAACNCGG